rnacentral:rRNA from 1 species
GGGCCCGCACAAGCGGUGGAGCAUGUGGUUUAAUUCGAUGAUACGCGAGGAACCUUACCAGGACUUAAAUGUAAGUUGCAUGAUUCAGAAAUGAAUCUUUCUUCGGACUACUUACAAGGUGCUGCAUGGUUGUCGUCAGCUCGUGCCGUGAGGUGUCAGGUUAAGUCCUAUAACGAGCGCAACCCCUAUCGUUAGUUGCCAUCAAGUAAAGUUGGGAACUCUAGCGAAACUGCCGGUGCAAACCGUGAGGAAGGUGGGGAUGACGUCAAAUCAUCACGGCCCUUACGUUCUGGGCUACACACGUGCUACAAUGGCCGGUACAGAAAGCAGCCACUAUGCGAAUAGGAGCUAAUCUUUAAAAACCGAUCUCAGUUCGGAUCGCAGUCUGCAACUCGACUGCGUGAAGCUGGAAUCGCUAGUAAUCG